ACGGGAGCUUGCUCCUGGAUUCAGCGGCGGACGGGUGAGUAAUGCCUAGGAAUCUGCCUGGUAGUGGGGGAUAACGUCCGGAAACGGGCGCUAAUACCGCAUACGUCCUGAGGGAGAAAGUGGGGGAUCUUCGGACCUCACGCUAUCAGAUGAGCCUAGGUCGGAUUAGCUAGUUGGUGGGGUAAAGGCCUACCAAGGCGACGAUCCGUAACUGGUCUGAGAGGAUGAUCAGUCACACUGGAACUGAGACACGGUCCAGACUCCUACGGGAGGCAGCAGUGGGGAAUAUUGGACAAUGGGCGAAAGCCUGAUCCAGCCAUGCCGCGUGUGUGAAGAAGGUCUUCGGAUUGUAAAGCACUUUAAGUUGGGAGGAAGGGCAGUAAGUUAAUACCUUGCUGUUUUGACGUUACCAACAGAAUAAGCACCGGCUAACUUCGUGCCAGCAGCCGCGGUAAUACGAAGGGUGCAAGCGUUAAUCGGAAUUACUGGGCGUAAAGCGCGCGUAGGUGGUUCAGCAAGUUGGAUGUGAAAUCCCCGGGCUCAACCUGGGAACUGCAUCCAAAACUACUGAGCUAGAGUACGGUAGAGGGUGGUGGAAUUUCCUGUGUAGCGGUGAAAUGCGUAGAUAUAGGAAGGAACACCAGUGGCGAAGGCGACCACCUGGACUGAUACUGACACUGAGGUGCGAAAGCGUGGGGAGC
rnacentral:rRNA from 1 species